UUGCCAGCCCGCUCAAGAAACUUAAAGGAAGUUGACGGGGCCCGCACAAGCGGAGGAGCAUGUGGUUUAAUUCGAUGAUACGCGAGGAACCUUACCUGGGCUCGAACGUAAGAUGACUGUAGGUGAAAGCUUACAUCUCUUCGGAGCAUUUUACGAGGUGCUGCAUGGUUGUCGUCAGCUCGUGCCGUGAGGUGUCGGGUUAAGUCCCAUAACGAGCGCAACCCUACCUUUAGUUGCCAUCAGGUAAUGCUGGGGACUCUAAAGGAACUGCCUACGCAAGUAGUGAGGAAGGCGGGGAUGACGUCAAAUCAGCACGGCCCUUACGUCCAGGGCUACACACGUGCUACAAUGGCCGAUACAGAGGGCAGCUACCUGGUGACAGGAUGCAAAUCUCCAAAGUCGGUCUCAGUUCGGAUCGGAGUCUGCAACCCGACUCCGUGAAGUUGGAUUCGCUAGUAAUCGCGCAUCAGCCAUGGCGCGGUGAAUACGUUCCCGGGCCUU
rnacentral:rRNA from 1 species